AGAGAGAGAGAGAGAGAGGAGAAAGAUGGCUAAGGUUAUGGUAAAAUAGUUGCUAUGUUAUUGCUUUGUCAUGAUAAGCUUGAAUAUUCCUAUGCUAAUAUUUCUUUCUACACAUAUGAUGCAUCAAUACCUAAAAUUGUCCUUGAAACUUCAUUGAAAUAAAAUUAAAUUUGAGAUAUCUUUUGGUUACAGUUUCGGCAAUGGGAUUCUUGGAGUAUUCAUUUAUCGGACAAUCUAUAUAGACCAUUAUGCGCUGUGUCAUAUAGAAGUAAUGUAUUUAGGUGCCAUUCUUUUCUAGUUCCAGGCCAAACAUUUCAACUUCCUGGCAUGAAGGCCACUUCCUUGGCAUUGACAGGGUCAUAUAAUGCUUUACAAAGCAGUCCUGUCGUAUUGAAGUUGGUUCCUGCAAUUGCUGUUAUCAUACUUGCUAUAUGGGGACUGGGGCCACUCAUGCGUCAAAGCAGAAAUUUGCUACUAAAU
rnacentral:misc_RNA from 1 species